GAUGAACGCUGGCGGCGUGCCUAAUACAUGCAAGUCGAGCGAAAGGACGAGAAGCUUGCUUCUCUGUUGUUAGCGGCGGACGGGUGAGUAACACGUGGAUAACCUACAUAUCAGACUGGGAUAACUUCGGGAAACCGUAGCUAAUACCGGAUAAUAUUUUGCACCGCAUGGUUCAAUAGUGAGAGACGGUCUUGCUGUCACUUAUAGAUGGAUCCGCGCUGCAUUAGCUGGUUGGUAAGGUCACGGCUUACAAAGGCAACGAUGCAUAGCCGACCUGGGAGGGUGAUCGGCCUCUUUGGAACUGAGACACCGUCCAUGCUCCUACGUUAGGCAGCAGUAUCUAAUCUUCCGCAGUGGUCGAGAGCCUUACCUAGCAACGCCGCGUGAGAUAUUGAGGUCUUCGGUUCGUAAAACUCUGUUAUUAGUUGAGAACAUAUUUGUUCGUUACUGUGCUCAUCUUGACGGUACCGAAUCAGGAAGCCACGGCUAACUACGUG
rnacentral:rRNA from 1 species